AUUGAACGCUGGCGGCAUGCCUUACACAUGCAAGUCGAACGGCAGCGGACCUUCGGGUGCCGGCGAGUGGCGAACGGGUGAGUAAUGCAUCGGAACGUACCUUUCAGUGGGGGAUAACGUAGCGAAAGUUACGCUAAUACCGCAUAUUCUGUGAGCAGGAAAGCAGGGGAUCGCAAGACCUUGCGCUGAUUGAGCGGCCGAUGUCAAAUUAGCUAGUUGGUGAGGUAAAGGCUCACCAAGGCGACGAUCUGUAGCGGGUCUGAGAGGAUGAUCCGCCACACUGGAACUGAGACACGGUCCAGACCCCUACGGGAGGCAGCAGUGGGGAAUUUUGGACAAUGGGGGCAACCCUGAUCCAGCCAUGCCGCGUGAGUGAAGAAGGCCUUCGGGUUGUAAAGCUCUUUCGGCCGGGAAGAAAUCGCACGGGCUAAUACCCUGUGUGGAUGACGGUACCGGAAUAAGAAGCACCGGCUAACUACGUGCCAGCAGCCGCCGUAAGAC
rnacentral:rRNA from 1 species